AUUGAACGCUGGCGGCAUGCCUUACACAUGCAAGUCGAACGGCGAGCACGGGAGCAAUCCUGGUGGCGAGUGGCGAACGGGUGAGUAAUAUAUCGGAACGUGCCCAGUCGUGGGGGAUAACGUAGCGAAAGCUACGCUAAUACCGCAUACGAUCUAUGGAUGAAANCGGGGGAUCGCAAGACCUCGCGCGAUUGGAGCGGCCGAUAUCAGAUUAGGUAGUUGGUGAGGUAAAGGCUCACCAAGCCGACGAUCUGUAGCUGGUCUGAGAGGACGACCAGCCACACUGGGACUGAGACACGGCCCAGACUCCUACGGGAGGCAGCAGUGGGGAAUUUUGGACAAUGGGCGCAAGCCUGAUCCAGCAAUGCCGCGUGCAGGAUGAAGGCCUUCGGGUUGUAAACUGCUUUUGUACGGAACGAAACGGUGAGCUCUAAUACAGUUUGCUAAUGACGGUACCGUAAGAAUAAGCACCGGCUAACUACGUG
rnacentral:rRNA from 1 species